CAUAAUAUUUAUUGUAUGUGGUAGAUGUCUCAUUGACGCUGCCAUAUUGGAGAAAGGGUAAUAGAGAGGAAGACCUAGCCUGUCGUCAAUCCGCAAUAUAGCUCAAACAGUUGAGAAGCAAUUGGGAAAAGCUAUCAAGAUUGCGAGAUCUGAUCAUGGUGGGGAGUAUUAUGGAAGAUACACAGAAACUGGUCAACGCCUGAACCAUUUGCUAAAUAUCUUCACAAUAAUGGAAUCAUUGGCCAAGUAACCAUGCCCGCAGAUCUUGAGCAAAAUGGUGUGGUGGAAAGGCGUAACACAUUGAUGGAAAUGAAAAGAAACAUGAUGAGUCGGACCAAUAUACCAGAAUUCCUUUAGUGGUGAAGCUAUUAAGGCUGCUACAUAUAUCCUGAAUCGAGUUCCGAGUAAAGUUGUUCCUAAGACUCCUUUUGAGCUAUGGACUGGUAGAAAAUAAAGUUUGAAUCAUUUUCGAGUUUGGGGAUGUCCUGCAGAAGUUAACAUAUUUGAUUCGCUGCAAAAUAAUACCGAUCCUAGGACUAUUUGAUGUUAUUUCAUGAGAUACCCAGAUCAUUUAAAAGGGUACAUAUUUUAUUGUCCCUCUCGUGGCACUAGAAUUGUUGAAUCAUGGACUACUAAAUUUUUGGAGACUGAUUUUGCUUAUGGAAGUAACUCUGAGUCUAAUGAGCCAAGAGGAAGCAGUGCACAUGAUAUUGACCCUAUGGUGAUAGAAGAUGAGAAUAUUCAAGCUAAUGAUAAUUCGCUUCAUAGAUCACAAAGAGAGAGGAGAUCAGCUAUUUCUACUGACUAUCAAGUAUAUUUAGGUGAUACUGAUUAUGAUAUUGGCCAAAUUGAAGAUCCUGCAACAUAUAAUCAAGCUGUUAAUAGUCAUGAAUCUGAAAAAUGGCUUAUUGUUAUCAAAGAUGAGAUAAAGUCCAUGAAUGACAAUGGUGUCUAGAAUAUUAUUGAGUUACUGAGUGGGAACAAAUCAAUAAGUUGCAAAUGGGUUUACAAGACCAAGAAAGAUAGUCAUGGAAAUAUUGAUCGAUUUAAGGCUCGGUUGGUUGCAAAGGAUUUUACUUAGAAAGAAGAAAUUGAUUAUAAUUAGACUUUUUCUCUUUUAUCCACUAAAUAUGGUCUCAAAAUUAUCAUGGCAUUGGUGACUCAUUUUAACCUCGAGCUACACCAGAUGGAUGUUAAGACAACCUUUCUAAAUAGAGAGUUGUCUGAGAAGAUUUAUAUGAAACAUCCUGAAUGUUUCAUCGAAAGUGGAAAGGAACACUUAGUUUGUAUGUUAAAGAUGUCUAUAUAUGGUCUGAAUCAAGCUUCUCGUCAUUGGUAUUUGAAAUUUGAUAGUGUUAUGACAUCAUUUAGUUUUGUAGAGAACAAGUUUGAUGAAUGUAUCUAUUUGAAUAGUAGUGGGAGCAGAUUCAUUUUUCUUAUCCUCUAUGUUGAUGAUAUUCUACUAGACAGCAAUUAUUAUGGAUUGCUUUUUUAAACCAUACAAUUCUUGUAAAGACGCUUUGAGAUGAAAGAACUUGGAGAUGAUUCUUUUG